rnacentral:rRNA from 1 species
AUGACGAGCUCCACUUCAGCCUCCCGCCCCUCAUGGACCCAGUAUGGUCCACUUCCCACGGAGCGAUGUCCUGACUGCCCACACAACGCGCCACUGAUACGGUUGACUUCGAAGGAGGUCAAGAAUGGCAACUAUGGACGCGAGUUCGUGAAAUGCGAGAGCAAGCCAGAGGGGCAGAUCGUGAAGAAAUGCACACAUUUCGAAUGGCUGGAUGACUACGUUAAGCGGAUUCAAUUCAAUGGGGCCCCAACCCGGGAGCUCAAUCUGCCAUCGACAACAACGAAUUUGGUCUCUGAAAGUGCUGCUCUGACAGUUGGGGAUGCAGAUCUGAAGGGGAAAUAA